AGAGACAUGAGACAGGUGAGAGAGAGACAGGUAGGGAGAGAGACAUGAGACAGGUGAGAGAGAGACCGGUUAGAGCGAGAGAUGAGAGAGAGAGACAUGAGACAGGUGAGAGAGAGAGAGAGAGAGAGACAUGAGACAGGUGAGAGAGACAUGAGACAGGUGAGAGAGAGACCGGUUAGAGAGAGAGAUGAGAGAGAGAGACAUGAGACAGGUGAGAGAGAGAGAGACAUGAGACAGGUGAGAGAGAGACAGGUUAGAGAGAGAGACAUGAGACAGGUGAGAGAGAGACAGGUUAGAGAGAGAGACAUGAGACAGGUGAGAGAGAGACAGGUA